GACGAACGCUGGCGGCGUGCCUAAUACAUGCAAGUCGAGCGGACGAAUCGAAAGCUUGCUUUUGAUUCGUUAGCGGCGGACGGGUGAGUAACACGUGGGCAACCUGCCCUGUAGACGGGGAUAACACCGAGAAAUCGGUGCUAAUACCGGAUAACACGAAAUGUCGCAUGACGUUUCGUUGAAAGACGGCGCAAGCUGCCGCUACAGGAUGGGCCCGCGGCGCAUUAGCUAGUUGGUGAGGUAACGGCUCACCAAGGCGACGAUACGUAGCUGACCUGAGAGGGUGAUCGGCCACACUGGGACUGAGACACGGCCCAGACUCCUACGGGAGGCAGCAGUAGGGAAUCUUCCGCAAUGGACGAAAGUCUGACGGAGCAACGCCGCGUGAGCGAAGAAGGCCUUCGGGUCGUAAAGCUCUGUUGUUAGGGAAGAACAAGUAACGCAGUAACUGGCGUUACCGUGACGGUACCUAACGAGAAAGCCACGGCUAACUACGUG
rnacentral:rRNA from 1 species